rnacentral:rRNA from 1 species
UACGUAGGGGGCAAGCGUUAUCCGGAUUUACUGGGUGUAAAGGGAGCGUAGACGGUAGAGCAAGUCUGAAGUGAAAGCCCGCGGCUCAACUGCGGGACUGCUUUGGAAACUGUUCAACUGGAGUGCUGGAGAGGUAAGCGGAAUUCCUAGUGUAGCGGUGAAAUGCGUAGAUAUUAGGAGGAACACCAGUGGCGAAGGCGGCUUACUGGACAGUAACUGACGUUGAGGCUCGAAAGCGUGGGGAGCAAACAGG